rnacentral:rRNA from 1 species
AUUGAACGCUGGCGGCAGGCCUAACACAUGCAAGUCGAGCGGGGUUUUCGGACCUAGCGGCGGACGGGUGAGCAAUGUGUAGGAAGCUGCCCGAUAGAGGGGGAUACCAGUUGGAAACGACUGUUAAUACCGCAUAAUGUCUACGGACCAAAGUGUGGGACCUUCGGGCCACAUGCUAUCGGAUGCGCCUACGUGGGAUU